rnacentral:lncRNA from 1 species
GGGCGAUAGAAACCAGAUAGAAACUGAUAAUGGUGCAUGUGACUUCAGUUAAGUUUUUGUUAGCCGCCAAUGUUGAAACCAAGUACUUGCUCAAUGGCUUUCCAUAUCUGGGGAAAGAUAAAACAAGGCCAGUGGGUGAGCGACUCACUGUCUGAGACUGUGAUUUUGAGACUCGUGGGGCUUUACUUGGGCAAAGGCAGAGUUGUGACCAUGGACAACUUCUUCACAUCAAUUUCCCUGGCAGACAAGUUGAUUGCAAAGAAGACUAGCCUGAUUGGAACAGUGAACAAACAAAGGCGGGAGAUGUCCCCCUCUGCGCAAAACAACAUACCAGCGGAGCUGUACUAAAGCAACAGUCACGGUGUACAGAUGUAAAAUAAAUAAGUGUUUGCAUCCUACGCUCCAUGCAUUCUACUGUUGCCAUCGGCAGUGACCAGAAGAAGAAACCGGAGACGGUGACAGACUACAAUAACAAAGGUUGGUGUGGAUGUGUAACCGAUGUGAAAUGGCUAGUUAGUUAGCGGUGGUGCGCGCUAAUAGCAUUUCAAUCGGGUGACGUCACUCGCUCUGAGACCUGAAGUAGUUGUUCCGCGGCUUUUGUGGCGCGAUGGGUAACGAUGCUUCGUGGGGUGUCAGUUGUUGAUGUGUGCAGAGGGUCCCUGGUUCAAGCCCAGGUUGGGGCGAGGAGAGGGACGGAAGCGAUACUGUUACAGAUGCACUCGACCAGAUGGCAAGACUGUACUCUGUAAAAGGAGGUACUCACCACUGGCCUGUUGCAGUGUUCUACAACUUACUCGAUAUGGCUGCUAACGUGUACGUGUUAUACAAGCAAUGCCUUGACAAGACAGUCAGCAGGAGAGAUUUCAUGAUGCAUCUGGCACGUGAGCUUUACGAGAACCACAUGAACAUCACCAAGGCAGCAGGUCUCCCUCUUCCCCAAGCACCCCAGCUCCCACUCAGGAAAAAGAAGACAGAAUGUCAAGUCGACAGGUGCACACGAAACAACCCACAUGAAAACUGUGUGUAGUGCAACUGAUUUGUUUGUGGGGCUUGCUCACACAAAGCCCCGAAGCUGUGUGUUGACUGUGGACCCGAAGCGAUUGAUUCAUCUGUAAAGACAGGUGUAAGGGCACAAUACAGUGUCCGAUCAACAAAUGACUGUUUUUAUAUCUUGUCAUGAAUAUUUUUCCACAACCAUUUCUUUAUGUGAUUAAUCCUUUACAAUUGUUCAUGCACUGGUGAUUUUAUUCAGGAAUACAGCA